UAACGGUGAUCUGCCGCGCGGUUUUGUAU
rnacentral:sRNA from 1 species